GAGUUUGAUCGUGGCUCAGGACGAACGCUGGCGGCGUGCUUAACACAUGCAAGUCGAACGGAGAUAGGAAGAGCUUGCUCUUCCGAAUCUUAGUGGCGGACGGGUGAGUAACGCGUGAGCAACCUGCCUUUCAGAGGGGGACAACGUUUGGAAACGAACGCUAAUACCGCAUAAGAUCGUAGGGCCACAUGGUCCAGCGACCAAAGGAGCAAUCCGCUGAAAGAUGGGCUCGCGUCUGAUUAGAUAGUUGGUGGGGUAACGGCCUACCAAGUCGACGAUCAGUAGCCGGACUGAGAGGUUGAACGGCCACAUUGGGACUGAGAUACGGCCCAGACUCCUACGGGAGGCAGCAGUGGGGAAUAUUGCACAAUGGGGGAAACCCUGAUGCAGCAACGCCGCGUGAAGGAUGACGGUUUUUCGGAUUGUAAACUUCUGUUCUCGUUGACGAAGACAGUGACGGUAACGAGGAGCAAGCCACGGCUAACUACGUGCCAGCAGCCGCGGUAAU
rnacentral:rRNA from 1 species